UACGUAGGCAGCGAGCGUUGUUCGGAGUUACUGGGCGUAAAGAGUGCGUAGGCGGUUUUCUAAGUUUGGUGUGAAAUCUCCCGGCUUAACUGGGAGGGUGCGCCGAAAACUGGAAGGCUUGAGUAUGGGAGAGGUAAGCGGAAUUCCUGGUGUAGCGGUGAAAUGCGUAGAUAUCGGGAGGAACACCGGUGGCGAAGGCGACCAUCUGGACGGAUACUGACGCUGAGACACGAAAGCGUGGGUAGCAAACAGG
rnacentral:rRNA from 1 species